AUACAGGGGGUGCGAGCGUUAAUCGGAAUUACUGGGCGUAAAGAGUACGUAGGCGGUUGCUUAAGUCAGAUGUGAAAGCCCCGGGCUCAACCUGGGAACUGCAUUUGAAACUGAGUGACAAGAGUUUAAGAGAGGGGAGUAGAAUUCCGGGUGUAGCGGUGAAAUGCGUAGAGAUCCGGAGGAAUACCAGUGGCGAAGGCGGCUCCCUGGCUUAAAACUGACGCUGAGGUACGAAAGCGUGGGUAGCAAACAGGAUUAGAAACCCUAGUAGUCC
rnacentral:rRNA from 1 species